UACGUCGGGGGCAAGCGUUGUCCGGAAUCAUUGGGCGUAAAGAGCGUGUAGGCGGCCAGAUAAGUCCGCUGUGAAAUCUCGAGGCUCAACUUCGAGCUGUCGGUGGAAACUGUCUGGCUAGAGUCCGGAAGAGGAGAAUGGAAUUCCUGGUGUAGCGGUGAAAUGCGCAGAUAUCAGGAAGAACACCCGUGGCGAAGGCGGUUCUCUGGGACGGUACUGACGCUGAGACACGAAGGUCAGGGGAGCAAACGGG
rnacentral:rRNA from 1 species